UACGUAGGGUGCAAGCGUUGUCCGGAAUUAUUGGGCGUAAAGAGCUCGUAGGCGGUUUGUCGCGUCUGCUGUGAAAACUCAGGGCUUAACUCUGAGCUUGCAGUGGGUACGGGCAGACUAGAGUGCGGUAGGGGAGACUGGAAUUCCUGGUGUAGCGGUGAAAUGCGCAGAUAUCAGGAGGAACACCUGCGGCGAAGGCGGGUUGCUGGGCUGACACUGACGCUGAGGCGCGAAAGCCAGGGGAGCGAACGGG
rnacentral:rRNA from 1 species